rnacentral:rRNA from 1 species
AGUAAAUAGAUACCCAGGUAGUCCACGCCGUAAACGAUGAGUACUAGGUGUAGGAGGUAUCGACUCCUUCUGUGCCGCAGUUAAACACAAUAAGUACUCCGCCUGGGAAGUACGGUCGCAAGAUUAAAACUCAAAGGAAUUGACGGGGGCCCGCACAAGCAGCGGAGCAUGUGGUUUAAUUCGAAGCAACGCGAAGAACCUUACCUAGACUUGACAUCCCCUGAAUAACGUAGAGAUACGCGAAGCCCUUCGGGGCAGGGAGACAGGUGGUGCAUGGUUGUCGUCAGCUCGUGUCGUGAGAUGUUGGGUUAAGUCCCGCAACGAGCGCAACCCUUAUCAUUAGUUGCUACCAUUUAGUUGAGCACUCUAGUGAGACUGCCCGGGUUAACCGGGAGGAAGGCGGGGAUGACGUCAAAUCAUCAUGCCCCUUAUGUCUAGGGCUACACACGUGCUACAAUGGUGAGAACAACGAGAUGCAAUACCGCGAGGUGGAGCAAAAACUUCAAAACUCAUCUCAGUUCGGAUUGUAGGCUGAAACUC